rnacentral:rRNA from 1 species
AUUGAACGCUGGCGGCAGGCCUAACACAUGCAAGUCGAGCGAGCGGCGGACGGGUGAGUACUGUCUGGGAAACUGCCUGAUGGAGGGGGAUAACUACUGGAAACGGUAGCUAAUACCGCAUACCAUCAGAUGUGCCCAGGUGGGAUUAGCUAGUAGGUGGGGUAACGGCUCACCUAGUCGACGAUCCCUAGCUGGUCUGAUGGGCUGCCCAGCCCAACUGGAACUGAGACACGGUCCAGACUCCUUCGGGAGGCAGCAGUGGGGAAUAUUUCACAAUGGGCUCAAGCCUGAUGCAGCCAUGCCGCGUGUGUGAAGAAGGCCUUCGGGUUGUAAAGCACUUUCAGCGGGGAGGCGUUACCCGCAGAAGAAGCACCGGCUAACUCCGUGCCAGCAGCCGCGGUAAUUC